rnacentral:lncRNA from 1 species
CAAACUAUAAACUCAAAUCCUAUACAUUCCAUAAACACAAACUUUAAAAUUUUAGAUUUCAUAUUAAUAUUUUCCAAACUUUAGUUUCAAACCAUAAUCCCAACACUCAAAAUCUUAAACUCUAACUCCAAAAGCUCAAAGCCAUAACUCCAUCACAACCCUCUUCUUGGAACCUAAUCUUUAACCAUUCUUCUUCACUUACAUAAUUCAAACCCUAUAUCGUAAAACAUGAAACCUUAAAUUUUAAAUAUUAAACAAAACUUAAUUCCUAAUAUAUAUAUAUAUAGAUAUCUAUAAACUAUGUACAAUUUUAAUCUUUCAAACUCUACACUCAAGUCUUAUAAUAAACUUCAAAACCCUCAACUUAUACUCCAAAUCCUAUUUCAUAAACUUCAGAUCUUACAUUUUCAAUAUAAUCUAAUUCCUACAUCCCAAAACUAAUUUAUAAAAUGCUCAAAUUUUUAAAAUUUCUACUAAAUAUAAACAUACAUAAAAUGUAAAGACCAAUUAUUAAACAAAAAUUCUAUUUCUUAAACCCUCAACUUCAUUUAUUUUAUGCUAACUCUGAAUUUUAAUUUCAAAUUUUAAACGUAUUCCCUAUGCCAUAUAUCAUAAACCCUAAACUCUAAUUUAUAUCCAAAUAUCAAUCACAAAGUUUAACUUUUAAAAUUAUAAAUUUAAAUCUAUAAAUUUUAUACUAUGAAUUAUAAAAUUUUGAUGUUUCCUCAAAAUAUAUCUGUGUCCAAAAAUAUAUUAUAAACAUUUUAUAUAUUAAACACACAAAAUCGAAAAGAAAACAAUAGUAUUAAAAAAAGAAGAAAACAACUUUAAUAAUCUGACCAAUCACAUCCAAGGGUGAGGAUAGCUAAUAUUGACCAUUGAUUAAAUAUUUUGAAGGGUCCCGAUUCCUCCUCCUUCUUCCCCUCUUUCUCUCUCUCUCUCUCUCGUCUGUUUUUUCUCUACCAGUUUCAUCCUGCUCCUUCCUCUCUCUCUCAUAUCUCCAAUUUUUCGAAAGGUGAGUGUCUUAUCCAUCACCACCAAACCUCCACUGUUCUAUUUUAUUAAUACGAGUACAUGAAAUGAAAUCUUGAGGGGAACCAGCGCACGCUUUGCAUCCAAAACUUUAAUCGAAGAAGCAAACAAAAGUAGUGAGGAAACGUGUAAACUAUUAUAAAAUAUGUUAUAAAGGAAUAAGAACAAACUAAGUUACUACUAGUCUACCAAUUAUAUGUGCAGGUUUAGAGCUUUUAAUGGGGU